rnacentral:lncRNA from 1 species
AAGCCGAGGGAACGCUGUGGCUGAAAGGGACCUGGGUCCGCUCAGUCAGCCCGAGGUGGCUGUUGAUUGAGGGAGGUCGCGCCCUCCCAGUUACCUUCCCUGGUGGUUGUGCCGCUCGGUGUGACGCGGUCAAGGGGACGGCUACGCGAGAAUGGGGGAGUGGGGCGCCCGAGGCUGCUCCUGGGCCCUGGGAAGCCCCCGAUUAAUGAAUGGUCGGGUCAGCGACGCGAGGGUCGGGGUUUCUCUGAGGACCGCGCGCUGCACCUGCGGAGCCGGGUGAAUGGAUGUCGCGAAGGCAAGGGCUGCCCUUACCCCUCGGGGCCGACCUCGGAGCCCUCGCCCGUGGUUGCAACGCUUUCCCGGGAAACCGGAGAAGCCAGGCCGGGGGCUCGGCCUUUCUGAGGCGGCCCUUCCGGCGGAGGACACCGGCGGAAUUUGAGUGCACAGAGUGCGCGAGAGGAGCUCCCUGUAGACACACAGUCCAAGCCACGUAGGUGAGGAACGUGAAAUCCAACUUUUUGCAGCUAGUAUGAGGCAGAGCCAAGA